rnacentral:tRNA from 1 species
UCCCAUAUGUUUUAGUGGUUAGGAAUUGGCGCUUUCACCGCCAAGGCCCGGGUUCAAUUCCUGGCGUGGGAA